GGAAUGUAGCUUAAAAUCCCAAGCACAGUGCACUGGUCUACAUGGGCAACCGAAUUAGCUGUUUGAAUCCAAGGAAAUCUUCUCUUUCAUGUAAGGAGAAACUGCUAGAACUACAGGAUCUACCCACRUGGCUCUUAAGAAUUGUUGCUUUUAAAUUCAGUCAUUUUUC